CCUACGGGAGACAGCAGUGGGGAAUAUUGCACAAUGGGGGAAACCCUGAUGCAGCGACGCCGCGUGAGUGAAGAAGUACUUCGGUAUGUAAAGCUCUAUCAGCAGGGAAGAAACUGACGGUACCUGAUUAAGAAGCCCCGGCGAACUACGUGCCAGCAGCCGCGGUUAUACGGAGGGGGCAAGCGUUAUCCGGAUUUCCUGGGGGUAAAGGGAGCGUAGACGGCAGCACAAGGCUGGAGUGAAAUGCCGGGGCUUAACCCCGGAACUGCAUUGGAAACUGUGCAGCUAGAGUGCAGGAGAGGUAAGGGGAAUUCCUAGUGUAGCGGUGAAAUGCGUAGAUAUUAGGAGGAACACCAGUGGCGAAGGCGGCUUACUGGACUGUAACUGACGUUGAGGCUCGAAAGCGUGGGGAGCAAACAGGAUUAGAUACCCCAGUAGUC
rnacentral:rRNA from 1 species